UGAUCCAGAGUACCACGGGACACGUGAAACCCUGUGGGAAGCAGGAGGGACCAUCCUCCAAGGCUAAAUACUACUUAGUGACCGAUAGCGCAUAGUACCGUGAGGGAAAGGUGAAAAGAACCCCGGGAGGGGAGUGAAAUAGAACCUGAAACCCUGUGCUUACAAGCUGUGGGAGCACUUUAUAUGUGUGACCGCGUACUUUUUGUAGAACGGGCCAACGAGUUACGACAGUAAGCAAGGUUAAGUACUUAAGGUAUGGAGCCGUAGUGAAAGCGAGUCUUAAAUGGGCGUUAAGUUUUCUGUCGUAGACCCGAAACCGGGCGACCUACCCAUGAGCAGGAUGAAGCGAAAGUAAAAUUUCGUGGAGGUCCGAACCCACGAGCGUUGAAAAGCUCGGGGAUGACUUGUGGGUAGCGGUGAAAUUCCAAUCGAGCCCGGAGAUAGCUGGUUCUCCCCGAAAUAGCUUUAGGGCUAGCCUCAAGGUUGAGAAAUACGGAGGUAGAGCACUGAAUAUCCUAGGGGGCAUUGCGCUUACCGAAGAUUAUCAAACUCCGAAUGCCGUUAUUUUAUACUUGGGAGUCAGACUGUGGGUAAUAAGAUUCAUAGUCGAGAGGGCAACAGCCCAGAUCGUCAGCUAAGGUCCCUAAAUGUAAGUUAAGUGGUAAAGGAUGUGGGAUUGCAUAGACAACCAGGAUGUUGGCUUAGAAGCAGCCACUCAUUUAAAGAGUGCGUAAUAGCUCACUGGUCGAGUGAUCCUGCGCCGAAGAUUACCGGGGCUAAAACUUACUACCGAAGCUACGAUAUCAUUUAUGAUAGGUAGGGGAGCUUCCUAUGCAGGCUGAAGCAUGACCGUAAGGACAUGUGGACAGUAUAGGAGUGAGAAUGUUGGCAUGAGUAGCGAGACGUGGGUGAGAAUCCCACGGGCCGUAAACCCAAGGUUUCCAGGGGAAGGUUCGUCCGCCCUGGGUUAGUCGGGACCUAAGCCGAGGCCGAAAGGCGUAGGUGAUGGACAACAGGUUGAGAUUCCUGUACCACCGAUAAUCGCUUGAGAGAAGGAAUGACACAGUAGGAUAAGCUAACCACACUGUUGGUUAUGUGUGGCUAAGUACUGAGGCAGUCAAGGUAGGCAAAUCCGCCUUGAUAAUGCUAGGGUACGAUGGGGAGCGAAAUUAAGUAGCGAAGUAGCUGAUUUCACACUGUCGAGAAAAGUUUCUAUCGAGAUUAAAGGUGCCCGUACCGCAAACCGACACAGGUGGGUGAGGAGAGUAUCCUAAGGCCAGCGAGAGAACUGUUGUUAAGGAACUCGGCAAAAUGACCCCGUAACUUAGGGAGAAGGGGUGCCACGUUAGGGUUAACGCCCGAGGUGGCCGCAGAGAAUAGGCCCAAGCGACUGUUUACCAAAAACACAGGUUUCUGCUAAGUCGCAAGACGAUGUAUAGGAGCUGACGCCUGCCCGGUGCUGGAAGGUUAAGGGGAUCUGUUAGGAUUUAUCCGAAGCAGUGAACUUAAGCCCCAGUAAACGGCGGCCGUAACUAUAACGGUCCUAAGGUAGCGAAAUUCCUUGUCGGGUAAGUUCCGACCCGCACGAAAGGCGUAACGAUUUGGGACCCCAUGGAGCUUUACUGUAGCUUGACAUUGAAUUUUGGUGCUACAUGUACAGGAUAGGUGGGAGGCUAUGAAGUCGGGACGCCAGUCUCGGCGGAGCCAUCCUUGGGAUACCACCCUUGUAGUACUGAGAUUCUAACCAGAUACCUUGAAUCAGGUAUUGGGACACUGUCAGGUGGGCAGUUUGACUGGGGCGGUCGCCUCCCAAAGAGUAACGGAGGCGCUCAAAGGUUCUCUCAGCACGGUCGGAAAUCGUGCGUAGAGUGUAAAGGCAGAAGAGAGCUUGAUUGCAAGACAUACAGGUCGAGCAAGGACGAAAGUCGGACUUAGUGAUCCGGUGGUUCCGCAUGGAAGGGCCAUCGCUCAACGGAUAAAAGCUACCCUGGGGAUAACAGGCUUAUCUCCCCCAAGAGUCCACAUCGACGGAGACCUGUCCUUAGUACGAGAGGACCGGGAUGGACGUACCUCUGGUGUACCAGUUGUUCUGCCAAGGGCAUGGCUGGGUAGCUAUGUACGGAAUGGAUAAGCGCUGAAAGCAUCUAAGCGCGAAGCCAACUUCAAGAUAAGAUUUCCCACCGUAAGGGUAAGAUCCCAGGAAGACUACCUGGUUGAUAGGUCAAAGGUGUAAGU
rnacentral:rRNA from 1 species